CUAGUCAACGACUGAUAAUUACGUCUUCAGUUAGAUUCAAUGUUGUCUAUGGGAUCAUGAUCAAUACAAGUAGUUUCUUUGUGUCGGAUUGUCUUCUGUGACUGAACUUGGACUCACCAUAAAAUGCUAUUUUACGGUGGGUCCAUACCUAACCUAAAAUUUUGGCUGUACAAUGGUAUUUCAACCAAGAUCGUGUUCUAAGGGGGUGCCUGAAAUGGGAGAACAAUUGGUCACCUUCACAACACUGAGUGUUUGGUUCAAUUAGGCGAGUCGUCCAACGAUUCUUCUCAUGUCCGUCUAUUUGUUGCACCCUAUUUGAGGGGAAAUGUUUUUAAAGACACUGAAUCAGGGCCUGCUGUUUCAUGUUUGAUCAGAGAUUUGCCAUCAGUCAUGCCUACACCACAUAGGUAUUAUAUCUGAGCAGACGUACAAGGACAUUUUGAAACUCCCAGAUGGACAUAAUACUCAAAAACAGUAGUCAAGAACAAAAUCACAGUUGUGUUUACUUAAAAUAGGUAAUAUUUUAAGUAAAAUUUACGGACAUUUUGUAAAAUCAUAUAUUAAGUGAACAACUUUUAGUAAAUGUUGUUUAUUGUAUACAUAAUGCAUAUCGUCAAAUUAAGGUUUAAUACCUACUGCUCGGUAAAAAUUGGAGUUUGAUAAAUUGACGAUAAUUGCAAACUUUUGUCAAUGUAAGUUAUUAAGCUGUGAUUUUUAAAUUUUUAGAAAGUUUCACUGGUCUUUGACUAUCAUUCAGAUCAUUCUUAGGAAUUGAUCAGUUUAGUAUAUCUGAACUAAUAGAUGUUAACAAACUCAUAACCAGUACUUAAUAACUGACAUUGAUGGUGUAGUUCUAUUGAAGAUUUUACUAUUAAUUUCAACCUGAAAAAUCGUGGUAUUCAGAGAAUAUGGACGAAAGUAUUCGUGUAGUGCGGUGUUUUAUUCAAACUAAUUAGAAUACAAUAGAUGAGUCAACAUUUGAGCUUUUGAGCUUCUUCUCUGAAGCUGAACUGAACUGUUUUCUUGCUCUCUAAGGUAACCUCGGUCGCCUUUAUUUGUUUUGAUGUGACUUGAUUCUGUUUUAUUCCAUACUCUAACAGGGAUUUGAUAAGUUCUCUCUGAUUAAAACUUGACCAUCAGAUUCUUUUCUGUUUGGUGUUGUGAUUGAUGACAGCUAUUAUUGUUCCUGGAUAUAUUUUCCCAAUAGUUGGUAAAUUGGCCAUUCUUUUCUAAGUUAACAAUUUUUCUUGUGUUUAGAUCAUAACUAAAAUAAGUUUUCCGAGUUGUCUUAAUUUAAGAAUAUUGUUUUGAUUGCUGCUCAGCAACUAUAUUUUUCUUCAGAAAUGUACGAAUUAAAUAUCUAAAAUUAAUCCCUUUCAAUAUCUCAUAAGGUGUUAUAAUUUAGAGUUGGUUUCGUAAAGGAUUUAUGUGUAUACAAUUAACAAUUGCCAGAGUGUCACUUUCAAAUUCAUUUAAUAAUCUAUACGAAAUCUUAUAGAUGAGGACUUAAAAUCUAAUUCGUAAUUGACGUUAAAUUAUGAUCUAUAAUCUGCUCUUCCGUAAAUGUUCGAGUUUGACAAUUUGUUAAGUUGAUAAGGCUUUAUGGUACUGUAAUUCCCAGUUUAAGAUUCCUCAGUAUUUUUUUAUUGGAACAGAUGAGGGGAAAAUCUUGAUAGACGUCACCUAGAUGAAAUUUGGAGUUAGUGUCGGAUUUUCACCGACUAUAACCCCCUCUCGGGACCGAUCCGAAGAUAAUAGCUAAAUUGGGAAAAACUGUGUGGUGAGAGGAAGAGAGGAGAAGUCGGAGGGAUUUUAAAAGGAAGGUCGCAGCGGAAGGAGAUCCUCCUGAGACUCUUGAGGAGAGAAUUUAUCCUCAAGGUUCUUAAUUGUGUCCCUGUGGGUCAGAAUUGUCCUUUUUCUUGGGGACGGUGCCAAGGAAACAUUUUUAUACCAAUAUUUUAAAUUUUAUUAUCCAUAUUAGCAGUGGUAUCUGUAGAUCCUGAUAAAACAUCGAUGAUCUUUGCCUACUAUCUAAAUAUUCAUUCUAAUGAGCAGCCAGUGUGGCUUGCAUAUUAUGUGGUAACCGACUAAUCCAUAUGUUUCUUGUCCAUUAUUUUUAAAAUGAAUGGUACUGAGAGACGGCUACAGGAAGAAUAUUCUGGGAACAAUUGAACUAUGAAACUGAAUACUGACAUAAAUACUGAGUGAUCCUUUGUAUCGUAUUUUGCCAUACCAUACUUCUUCAUCCACAGAAGAACCUCUAGCCGUACCACUUACGGUCUCGUUAUAGUGACUCUGCUCUUGCGAAGAUUUUAGUAGCCUUCUUUCUUAUGUAUUCUUGAAAUUCCGUCCAAUGAAUGUCCCUGUACAGCUGUCUGUUACGGAUACACCAGGGGACAUUUAUGGACAUCCUCACGGCACGAGAGAAGGGUUUUAAAAGGGGCUGGGCUGCUUCGGAGGGUCGCAGCGGAAGGAGAUCCUCCUGAGACUCUUGUGGAGAGAUUUUAGCCUCAAGGUUCUUAAUUGCGUACCUGUGGAUCAGAAUUGUCCUUUUUCGUAGGGACGGUGCCAAGGAAACAUUUUUAUACCGAUAUUUUAAAUUUUAUUAUCCAUAUUAGCAGUGAUAUCUGUAGAUCCUGAUAAAACUUGUAUUAAUCAAGAUCGAAGGAAGAAACAGGAAGACGACAUGGCUAAGUUUCGUACGUAGCAAUGGUUCGCACCAGUCCUAUAGCUGGCUAAGUUGGUACAACGUGAACCUUUCAUCCAUCAUUAAGCAUACCCUAGCAAUAAUACGACUUAUUAAAUCUUCGACAAUUGGCAAGCCCACGUUCUUCAUAUUCCUAACUAACUCCUCGAUCCUAUGCGUCGACGACUGCAUCGGCGAUCUUUGCUUGCUAUCUAAAUAUUCAUCCUGAUGAGCAACCAGAAUGGCUUGCAAUUUAUGUGGUAACUGACUGAUCCAUAACGUUCCUAGUACAACGUCUGACACUUUGCCUUGUGCCAAGACCCGAAGGCGUCGAAAAAACUAGCCGGUAUUGCAGUUGUCCAUUGGGUCA